CGUGCGUGCGUCUGCAGUCACUCAGUCUGGCGCUCUGUUACGGUGGCCCUCGAAGACAAAGCAACGUGCGAGAAGCGCAUUAGCCUGAUUCCUGCCAACAGCCAUAAAGGAAAACUUGAACAUGGGUCUGCCUGGCUCCUUAGCCUGUGCUUUUUGGACAAAUGAUUCUAAGCUCAGCUCCUCUGUCUGGGCAGGGACAGACCAGGCUUUCCGGACUGCUGACGGUCUUCUGUUGAGGAUCCGAGUCGGGCAGAACUGCACCAGUCUGCUGCUUCUGCACGCGAGCAGGGAUGCCUGUGAACUUGGGCAUUGCAGCAGGGGCAUGAAAGGAGAAUCCGGGGCAGUCCUUCGCAGAGGUUGGUGGUCCUACGAAUUCCCCAGGUGGGAUCGUUAACACAUUGAACCAGGAUGUCUGGGUGUGGGUAAGAAUUUGCGCUUGUAACAGCUUUCUCAGCCAAACACACUUAAAUAGUGUCUUUAUUUGGGGCUUUCAUUUCUCUUGAGUUUGUGGAAAUGAAAGAAAACCACACACACAAACCUCUUAGAUGAAGACAAAGUUUUAUUCUAAAAAUAGAUCUCAGUAACAAUGAAAUACCAAAAGCUGGUCAUUAUAAGAAAAAGAAAAAAAGAGGUAAAAAAUUUGCUUAAAAUUUUCCUCCUCAAAAAUACAAAAUUCUCACUGUACUAUAUUGCGAACUCUCAUUUAUCUGUAUGCAAAUUAACUUUAUCCAAAGACAUUUAAAGUCACAGAUUGGAUUCUAAUGUAUCUUCAAGUAAAUACAUUCUCUGAGAAUGCAAUGAAAUAUUUAAACAUAAUUGGGAUAUAAAUUUAUGCUUAGGGAAACAGUGGUUCAUGUUACCACUUCCCUCUAUUUUUGCAGAUAACCAAAAAAAGUGACUGCACCCCACUACUGGUAUUUGAAGGUAGCAGAGAGAAAACAUUAACUACAUUAUUUCUAUCUUUAAAGGCAUAUAAUGACCUGUAGUACUUAAAAAAAGUGGUUUCACAUCUUCAAAGUGCUAGAGAAGCAAGUAUCAGGGAAGACAAGGUUCGACCUCAAGUACUGAAGAAUGCAGAAGACAAAAGGACGAAAAGGUAAAAGGCCCCCAUCACUGUAUCCAUCAAAGUGGUUUAAAGACCAGGUAGGCAAGUUACACAGUCAGCCCACCUCUCUGUCCUCACCACACUACCCAUGGUCACCACCUCAGUUGGCUGCACAGUGACUAGGAAGGAUUGUCCCGUAUCAAAAUUCUUGACAUUCUCUGAAGGCCAAAAGCUGGUCCCAGAAGGGCCAUCCUCUUCAGUGUAGACGCACUGUCAUCAGGACAGCUUAGCUUGUUGGCAGAAAGUGGUGGUACUUUACUUUGCGUAGUCAUUUAGUAUGACUGAAACAGCCUUUUUUUUGUCAAAACUUGACCGUGAGUUGUAAACUCGAAAACUGAACACCCAAACAUAAGUUGACUGAUACUGGUGUCCCGACAAUACCGUGCUUUUUCUGUUAACCUAAUGCAGCCUAAAGUGCCCCUCUACAGGAGAGGAGGGGCCUAAAGAAUAAGAAAAGUUUCUGGUCUUAAAAAUUGCUUAAGGAUUUGUAUUUGGAAUAAAGGUUUUUUAGUAUAUCCCCAAAUCAGAUAAAAUCAACAGUGCACAAAAAUACAGCAUCUUCCUGUAGGUCAGUAGCCUGAGGGGUGCCCUCCUAUCCCUGGAUCGAUCCACACAGCCUUCUAGAACUCUAGAGAAAUACCACAGGGGCUUAUGUUAGUAUGUUUACACUACAUUAAACCAUCCUACGACUCAACCUACAGUUAACCGGUGCGUAUGAAACAGCGCAGUUUCCAGCAGUGGCAACACUCACGGUAGGAAGGUAAGCGGACGAGAUCGUGAACACGCUGCUACGACGUGCAGAAAUGAGAGAGGGAAAAGACAGACUAAGUGCCACAGAAGCCGUAACGAUGACACAAGCUCUGACAGGGCUCAGCCACACGUUCUCGUGCUGGGGGCGGGGUGGUGCAUUUUGUUUCUCACCCAAGCAUGAAGCUUUGAAACUAAAGUUAUGUCGGAGACCUGAUUUACUCGGAAUUUCUGCGGUGUGGCUUUAGAGCAGAGCCGGCUCUGGGGAGCAGUGAAGGUCUGUGUCGUCGUCAGUACGUGCCGUCCCAGUGAGUUACUCCCCCGGCGUGACCAAGACCACAAGAAGGAGAACGGCACUGGUCUGUGUUUUUAGAAGUGACUGUAACCACUGCACAUGCUCAUUUAAAAACCGAAACCAAACUCUUCAGUAAUCCUGAGGAAUCUUUACAUGCGUAUAACGUACAACGUACUAUAUAAACAUGAUCUGCGUAUACUGUUUCCAAGGAGAGUCAUCCAAAUUCAUCGAUAGGGCUGUACUGAUCUUCCCAUUGGUGCCUGGAGUCCCUUAAAUGAUGGCAUCGUGUUCAUCGCUGUAAUCAAAAGAGGACCUGAAGCCAAGCAAGCACGUGGGAAGGUGCCCAGAAGUGCCGCUCCUGCACCAAACCCCACCCCUGCACGCUUCUGUCACCGCGGGUAACCUUUUCAUGCUCACUGCUACAACUGCUACGUGGGGAACGUCUCCAGUUUUGAGCGGGACAGACAAAUCCAGCGUUCUGUAAGAACUCGAACUUCAGAGCGGCUCUCGGCUUCUAAAUGUGCCGUCCCGUAGCACUAAGAAAAAGGCGCUGUGGUCCGUGGACGGUAAGGUGCACCCUAACUUCGGAGACGUGCCGUAGAGGGGGAACAAAACGAAAGCAGCGCGGACUUUCACUCGAGUCCGUGAGGUACUUUCUCUGGGGCUCUGU